rnacentral:rRNA from 1 species
GGGUGAGUAAUGCGUCGGAACGUGCCGAGUAAUGGGGGAUAACGCAGCGAAAGUUGUGCUAAUACCGCAUACGCCCCGAGGGGGAAAGCAGGGGAUCUUCGGACCUUGCGUUAUUCGAGCGGCCGACGUCUGAUUAGCUAGUUGGUGGGGUAAAGGCCUACCAAGGCGACGAUCAGUAGCGGGUCUGAGAGGAUGAUCCGCCACACUGGGACUGAGACACGGCCCAGACUCCUACGGGAGGCAGCAGUGGGGAAUUUUGGACAAUGGGGGCAACCCUGAUCCAGCCAUUCCGCGUGAGUGAAGAAGGCCUUCGGGUUGUAAAGCUCUUUCGGCAGGAACGAAACGGCGGGCUCUAACAUAGCCUGUUAAUGACGGUACCUGAAGAAGAAGCACCGGCUAACUACGUGCCAGCAGCCGCGGUAAUACGUAGGGUGCGAGCGUUAAUCGGAAUUACUGGGCGUAAAGCGUGCGCAGGCGGAUUGUUAAGCAAGACGUGAAAUCCCCGGGCUUAACCUGGGAAUGGCGUUUUGAACUGGCAGUCUAGAGUGCGUCAGAGGGGGGUGGAAUUCCACGUGUAGCAGUGAAAUGCGUAGAGAUGUGGAGGAACACCGAUGGCGAAGGCAGCCCCCUGGGAUGACACUGACGCUCAUGUACGAAAGCGUGGGUAGCAAACAGGAUUAGAUACCCUGGUAGUCCACGCCCUAAACGAUGUCAACUGGUUGUUGGGGGAGUGAAAUCCCUUAGUAACGAAGCUAACGCGUGAAGUUGACCGCCUGGGGAGUACGGUCGCAAGAUUAAAACUCAAAGGAAUUGACGGGGACCCGCACAAGCGGUGGAUGAUGUGGAUUAAUUCGAUGCAACGCGAAAAACCUUACCUACCCUUGACAUGUCCGGAAUCCUG